UCUUAUUGACUAGUAAGAGAGGAAGGGAGAAAAAUUUCCCUCUGAGCUGGACAUUCAUGUUGGCUUCAAAGCGUCAUAAUUUUCUGUACACCAUGGUACUUAGCCUCAAAAUCCUCCUUUGCAGUAAAUAUCACUGAAUCACAGAAUCUUCUAGGUUGAAAGGGACCUCAAAGAUCAUCUUGUCCAACCGUCAACCUAACUGACAAAAACAGACAUCCGCACAACAAACAAGAAGCAUCACCAUCACUAAACCAUACCAUUACUUGCUUGUUACAAACAGGAAACUACAGAAAUGAUCACAUCAUUGAAAAGACAUUGUAUUAAAUGGGAAAGAUAAUCUUAGUGGUAUCUGGAAAAUACCUAACUUGGAAAUGAAGGCUCCUGAAAUGCUGCAUGGAGGAGUUCAGAGGCACCUGCACACUAAAGCACUUCCCCUCAGUACACCGUUUACUAUGGGAAAUUUUUAGAGAUGGGAAGAAAACCCCGCAGCGGUAAAGCAGAGGGCCCCUCUUGGUUUGGACUGAUUUUCUUUGGAGAACUGACAGCAGCCAUCCCUACUCGGGUCACCCAGCGCAGCAAAGCAACGCUUCAGGCUUUGAGGACCCACUAGUGGCUGCUG